rnacentral:rRNA from 1 species
GUCCUUUAGAAUAAUAAUUUAAGGUUUGACCUGCCCACUGAGGAGUUUAAUGGCCGCAGUAAUUUGACUGUGCAAAGGUAGCAUAAUCAUUAGUUUUUUAAUUAAAAGCUAGAAUGAAUGGUUGGACGAAAUAAAAUCUGUCUCUAAAUAAUAAAUAAAAAUUAAUUUUUAAGUUAAAAAGCUUAAAUUAUUAUAAAAGACGAGAAGACCCUAUAGAUUUUUAUAUUAUAAAUUUUAAUUUUAAUUUAGAAAAUUUUAUUAAUUAUAAUUUAUAUUAUUUUAUUGGGGUAAUAGAAAGAUUAAUUGAAUUCUUUUUUAAAAUUUUCAAUAAUUUUUGUUUUUUUGAUCCUUUAUUAAAGAUUAUAAGAUUAAGUUACCUUAGGGAUAACAGCGUAAUUUUUUUAGAGAGUUCUUAUCGAUAAAAAAGUUUGCGACCUCGAUGUUGGAUUAAAAAUUAUUUUAGGUGUAGUAGUUUAAAAGUUUGGUCUGUUCGACCAUUAAAUUUUU